UACGUAGGGACCGAGCGUUGUCCGGAUUCAUUGGGCGUAAAGAGCUCGUAGGCGGCCACUCAAGUCGAAUGUGAAACCUCGAGGCUUAACCUCGAGCCUGCAUUCGAUACUGGGCGGCUAGAGUCUGGUAGGGGGAUCUGGAAUUCCUGGUGUAGCGGUGGAAUGCGCAGAUAUCAGGAGGAACACCGGUGGCGAAAGCGGCGCGCUGGACCUCUUCUGACGCUGAGGCGCGAAAGCCAGGGGAGCGAACGGG
rnacentral:rRNA from 1 species